rnacentral:lncRNA from 1 species
UACACCGGCACAACACAGGAAAUAUGCCGAUAUUCUCAAGAAGAUAACAUGGUUAACUUAAAUAUAAUAUCACUGACUUCGAUAAACAUGUCCGUAACUGUUCUUGUAUUGUAAAUAUCGACAUCUUACAUAUUAUUAAGCGAUAGACAUGGCUAAUGAAAUUUUGUAAUUUCUAUCGAAACAAAGUAAUACUUGAAAACAACUAGAGCACAGUCAGUACAGUACGGUCCCUAUUUGACCUUCAAUACCGUUGAAUUGUGUUAUUGAUCAAUUGCAAAUAAAGAAUAAUUGUUUUAUCACAUGUUAGACGUCUUCGGAGUGAAAUAAAUCGGUUACAUAAAUUUGGUAUUGCACUAGUUAUAAAGCUUUUACGUGGGUUUAAGUAAAGCCUGGAAAGCUUUCAUGUGAUAAAUAGAUUAUUACAUUUGUGUCUUUCCACAUUCAAUCUAUCAAACUCGUUGACUGGAACUGACAAAAUGCUGGGUAGAUCCUCCCUCGCAUUUUAUCAUCUUAUUCAACACAUUCAGUAAGAAAAGACCUUCAUUUCACUUCCACUAUUUAUCAAUUUUUAUACAAAAACCUAAGAACAAUAAAUAUAUAAUAUUUCUAAGAAAUAUAUUUAAAGAGACUUCAUGGAGCCACAUCUAGCGGUACGUACUCACAGACCCUGCCAAGUGUUCUUACUGCAAGAUAUGUGAGGAUGUGUCCACUACAAUGGAACAGAAGUUACCGACCGUAUUUCCGGGUGGAAAUGUACGGCUGCUAUAGUUACAAAAAUAAUUAAAGAACGUCAAAAUGACUUUGUGAUGUGGUGUAAUGAAGAUAGAGAAGAAGCUGUUUAUAUACACCUUUAUUGCUUGAAUACUCAAUUCUGGAUUGAAUUAUCGUAACUUAUUGCACUUACCAGCCGCUAAUAUAAUGAAAUAGUAAACUACAUACUCCUUAGUAAAUCACUCGCAAAUAUU